rnacentral:rRNA from 1 species
UGGGGAAUAUUGGACAAUGGGCGAAAGCCUGAUCCAGCCAUGCCGCGUGUGUGAAGAAGGUCUUCGGAUUGUAAAGCACUUUAAGUUGGGAGGAAGGGCAUUAACCUAAUACGUUAGUGUUUUGACGUUACCGACAGAAUAAGCACCGGCUAACUCUGUGCCAGCAGCCGCGGUAAUACAGAGGGUGCAAGCGUUAAUCGGAAUUACUGGGCGUAAAGCGCGCGUAGGUGGUUUGUUAAGUUGGAUGUGAAAUCCCCGGGCUUAACCUGGGAACUGCAUUCAAAACUGACUGACUAGAGUAUGGUAGAGGGUGGUGGAAUUUCCUGUGUAGCGGUGAAAUGCGUAGAUAUAGGAAGGAACACCAGGGGCGAAGGCGACCACCUGGACUAAUACUGACACUGAGGUGCGAAAGCGUGGGGAGCAAACA